CACUUCAUGUACUUUCCUCCUUUCAUCAGACAUAAAAUAGACUUGUCAAAAUCACAUUUCCUCCUUCCAAAGGAGGAAAUGUAAGGAGCUUGCAGUUGCACUUCUAUAACCCUUCACCCUGGGCACCUUGGAUUAUGGUAUGAAUGUCUAACAGCACUUCAUUGCCUUGUUCAGUGAAUUUUAGGAGCCACCAGACAGAAAACUUUUUUGUCUUUUUUUAUGUAGAUUUGGAAAGGGAUGUCAGGAGAGCCCAUGGUCCUCAACAAAGGUAACUUGCUUCACUGCACCGUCAGGAAAUCGAGCUUGAACAGAUCCAGUGGAAGUCUUGAAGUCCCACUUCCAGGAGGUUUAAUCAACAUUCUUCAACCUGCUACCUAAAGCCUUUUAUCAGUGUCCUCACCUUUACCCAACACUUUUUGGUAAGAUGACUCUGCUGGCCUCCUGGAACAUUGCUGUCGUCCUCUGCUCAUCCUGGCCUUUGGACAUCUUUUCCAUUCUGCCCCAUAUCAAGCCCAUUUUGAUAAUGCUGCUUCACUACAACUCUGGAUUUGCCCCAUGUGACUUUAUUACGAACCAGAGAAGGCCAGGAAGUGGAUGUAUUUUGAACUUACCUCACUGUUGAGGACUUCAUAUAUUAGCAAUAAAUGUUUAUUAAGACUAUAAACCAGUGGAAUUUAGAUGACACUAAUAGGGAUAAAAAGUGAACCUGGUACUUAGAGUAUAAAAAUAGUAGGUAUAGGUAAUAUAUUAAUGUGGCUAAGAGGUAAUUUUCAAGAAUUUAGGGAAAAAGAAAACAAGGGAGUUACAUAAAAUCUGCAUACCUAGUAAUUAAAUCUAAGGCAAACUUUCUUGAUUCAGGAAGAAAGAUUGGAGACUUUUUUCCUGGAGAAAGUAAAUACCAUAAAGGAAAAUUACCCUCAAAAAUUAACAUCAGGGGUUCCUCAGUGAAACUGUCAGCUUGCUGUUCAGUCACCCUAUGCUAAACCUUAUUAAUUAUAAACAAUACCCAUGCACAUAGUGCUUCUUAUCUGUUCUUUAGUGUCUUGUUCUUACGUUUAAAUGCAGACAUAAAGAUCCGUGAGUAUUUGAGGAAAGCACCCAAUAUGAAAUAGAAAGAUCUAACAAGCAAAAGAAAAAAAACUUCAAAAAGUAAUGGUAGUAUGUUUACCUUGAUGGAAAAUGUUACAACUAUGAAACAAGAACAAGAAAGAGGUUUUGAAAUUGAAAAUGAUAGCAAAAAUUUUAUAGUGUCAUAAAAUUUUAAAGGAUACUUUCUCAUAAAAUAGAACAAAAGACAACCAUGAAGUAGAAAAUUAUAAAAAUUUGAAGAUAAAUCUAAGGGGGAAUAAAGGGGAAAACAGAUACAGUAGCAGAUACCCCUGGACUCCCCUCCUGAGUCGUCAGUACCUGGGUCAUUUCAUGAGCAUAGGUCCCCUGAACAUUCUCUUAUUUAGUUAAUGACAUCUCGCGCCUUCCAGUUUCUCAAGUAAGAAACCUGAUCAUUAACUCCCCCUUCUACUGUUUCCAAGGAAAUAGUAACGCCCCAGUAAUUUUUUAGUAGGUCCUGUUUCCUAAACACCAUUCUCACCAUCUCCUGUCGGCCUGGCCUGCCCACUCCCUUUACCAGAUCAUGUAUCUCUCCUGCUGACUCUGGGUCCCAGACUUGUCUCCUCAGGGCUGCUCAUAAAACACAGCCAUGACCAUGUUAAUCUCUGUUCCAAAAGUCUAUAUAAUUCUCUAAAAUCUAAACUCAUUAAAAUGACAUUUCAAGAUCUUCCUCAAUCUGACUUUCUGCCCAUUUAAAAACAAUUCAUCUUUCGCAUACAGAUACUGCUGUAGCCCUCUCUUUUCUACCACAAAGCGGUGUAUAUUUGAUUUCUCUGCCUGAAACUUUCAGUCCCCUUGCUGGCAAAUUACUCCAUUGAAACUCAGAUGGACUCCUGGUGAGGCCUACACCGCUCUGCCCAGGCAGAGUUAACUCUUUCUUGCAUUGUUUCUCAAUAAAUUGUGUGUAUUUUUGUGUG